GACGAACCGUGCGAACGUUGUUCGGAAUCACUGGGCUUAAAGGGCGCGUAGGCGGGUUUUCAAGUCUGUGGUGAAAUCCUCCAGCUUAACUGGAGAAGUGCCGUGGAUACUGGAGACCUCGAGGAGGGUAGGGGCAUCUGGAACAGCCGGUGGAGCGGUGAAAUGCGUUGAUAUCGGCUGGAACUCCGAUGGCGAAGGCAAGGUGCUGGGACCCUCUCUGACGCUGAGGCGCGAAAGCCAGGGGAGCGAACGGGAUAGAAACCCCGGGUAGUCCCAG
rnacentral:rRNA from 1 species